rnacentral:rRNA from 1 species
CAGUCGCCGCGGUAAUACGCAGGGUGCGAGCGUUAAUCGGAAUUACUGGGCGUAAAGCGUGCGCAGGCGGUUGUGUAAGACAGGUGUGAAAUCCCCGGGCUUAACCUGGGAACUGCGCUUGUGACUGCACAGCUAGAGUAUGGCAGAGGGGGGUGGAAUUCCACGUGUAGCAGUGAAAUGCGUAGAGAUGUGGAGGAACACCGAUGGCGAAGGCAGCCCCCUGGGCCAAUACUGACGCUCAUGCACGAAAGCGUGGGGAGCAAACAGGAUUAGAUACCCCCGUAGUCCCUGUCUCUUAUAC